rnacentral:rRNA from 1 species
UGGGGAAUAUUGGACAAUGGGCGGAAGCCUGAUCCAGCAACGCCGCGUGAGGGAUGACGGCCUUCGGGUUGUAAACCUCUUUCAGUACCGACGAAGCUGCUCUUUUUGGGGUGGUGACGGUAGGUACAGAAGAAGCACCGGCCAACUACGUGCCAGCAGCCGCGGUAAUACGUAGGGUGCGAGCGUUGUCCGGAAUUAUUGGGCGUAAAGGGCUCGUAGGCGGUUUGUCGCGUCGGGAGUGAAAACAUCCAGCUUAACUGGGUGCUUGCUUUCGAUACGGGCAGACUUGAGGUAUGCAGGGGAGAAUGGAAUUCCUGGUGUAGCGGUGAAAUGCGCAGAUAUCAGGAGGAACACCGGUGGCGAAGGCGGUUCUCUGGGCAUUACCUGACGCUGAGGAGCGAAAGUGUGGGGAGCGAACAGG